ACAUGUUCUUGAGCCGCACAGAUAAUCUGCCUGACCACUUCAAGAGAAGCCAGUUGAAUGGAAGGUGAUUCUCGAGUCAAAAUUACUCGAUGUAGUACAUUCAACAACUCAAUACCCAAGUCCUGUGACAGAAAACAGGAAGCUGAGAGGCAAAUUCUGAAGGCAAAGUUAGGAGAGCAAAAUCCUGAAGUGCAGCUAGCCACAGCCUACUCAAUGUACCGAGGUCUGCGUGGACUAAGUCAAGUAGCCCGUCUGGUGAAAUCGACCCGUUUCCAACGCUCUCUUCUGAACAGGCAGGAGGAGUCUUCAAAGACCAUUCAGGGCUGGAUAUUGAAUGCCUGACAACACCAUCAAGAAAAGCAACUAUUUAAAACAGUAUACUAUAUGGCUCUUAGAUAUCUGAAAAGAUGCUCAACCUCACUUGGCACACAAAUCUAAACUAUCCCGAGAUACCCUUUUUACUCCAUCACAAAAAUCUAAGUUUGACAACCGACACAGCCGCUGAGAAAACAGGCACGUGCAUACAGUGCUGGCAGGGGUUUGAGGUGGUUAACUCUUGUAAUUACUCUUUAACCCGACAAUUCAGUUUGGGGGAAUUUAGCUCCAAUACAUGCUUGGACCCAGCAAAUUGACCCACAGAGAAGGAGGGUCAUUAACUGCAGCACUAUUUCUAAGAGCAAAAGACAAAAAAGAGCCCCUGUAUUUCCAUCACCAGAGAACUGGUGACGUACCCAGAUACUGGACUACCAUGCAGUUACAAGAAAGAGAAAGGUCUGUAUAUUUAAAGGGUGAAGAAAAGGGGCAGCUGAGAUUAAUGGGUGAGUGGACAACUGUAACACAGAACCUUGGUAUUAAAUACUAUCUGGAGAGCUGCUUCCUAAAGGAGGGUUUACUAUUUACCUGACAUGCUUUGGCAGUGACGUCAGGUGGUGUCUCUGAGGUGAAGGCUGGUCUAAGUGCCGCUCCUACCUGGCAAGAAACGAUAUGUUCAUUCAAGCAUCAAUAAGUAAGAUAGCACAAACUCUUUUCUCUUUUUAAUGUUAUCUUAAAAUUAUCUCUUUAUAAUAGGUAUUAUAAACACUUUUUGGUUUUGCCUGCCCAGGAUGUCUUUCCCAGUUUUUGGUUAAGAGCAUCUCAAUUCUCCUUUGGGGAACUUUCUUUCUCACCAACUCUUAGCCUAUGUGGUUGCUAUGGAGCUAACAGCACUGUCUGGCUCCAGGGACCCGCACUGGUAUAAUGAAAGCUCUCCUGUAGAUGUUUGCUGGAAGUACUCAGAAAGAAGCGCUGUCUUUAAAAAGACUCUAGAUGCUGAGAGCGCCAUUUUGAUACCACUUGGAGAGGGCAAAUUUGAAAAAGAGCCAGUGCAGGAGAAAGCAGAGCCAACUAAGAUUCCCCAAAACAAUCUUCCUUUUCUGCUUAAUUGUAUGUAACUCCCAUCCCUUCCUUUUCUCUUUCCCUAAACAUACACUGACAUUACCUGUUGGGAAGAUGUGAUGGAGCCUGCUACCAACUGGCGAACUGCUCUGGAUUCCCUAAUUGCCAGUCAACAGAAGCUGCCUCUGCAUCAUGAGAGGUAUCCUUGCAUGACUGCCGAAGGACUACAUGUGGUCCUGUGCUAAAGCAACGUCAAAAUGUGCGCUGUGUGCAUUUUCACACUGGGUGAUUAUCCUACAGACGCAUUCAGCAGCGAAGACUCUUGUAGCCCAUCGGGGAUUGGUGAAAGGGAAAUUUACGUGAGGACUGCACAUUCUAUGAAACUACUAAAUGUUGAUUUUACUAGGUUUGGGGUAACAUGUGGUCAAGUAGGAGCAUGUCCUUCUUGAAAGAUGCAAGGUCUUUUCAAAUGAGUCAGCUCUUGGCAUCAGGUGGCCAAAAUACUGGAGUUUCAGCUUCAACAUCAGUCCUUCCAAUGAACACCCAGGACUGAUUUCCUUUACGAUGGACUGGUUGGAUCUCCUUGCAGUCCAAGGGACUCUGAAGAGUCUUCUCCAACACCACAGUUCAAAAGCAUCAAUUCUUCUGUGCUCAGCUUUCUUCAUAGUCCAACUCUCACAUCCAUACAUGACUAGUGGAAAAACCAUCGCCUUGAUUAGACCGGACCUUUGUUGACAAAAUAACGUCUCUGUUUUUUAAUAUGCUAUCUAAGUUGGUCAUAACUUUCCUUCCAAGGAGUAAGUGUCUUUUAAUAUUAUGGCUACAGCACCAUCUGCAGUGAUUUUGGAGCCCCCAAAAAAUAAAGUCAGCCACUGUUUCCCCAUCUGUUUGCCAUGAAGUGAUGGGACCAGAUGCCAUGAUCUUCGUUUUCUGAAUGUUGAGCUUUAAGCCAACUUUUUUACUCUCCUCUUUCACUCUCAUCGAGAGGCUGUUUAGUUCUUCUUCACUUUCUGCCAUAAGGGUGGUGUCAUCUGCAUAUCUGAGGUUAUUGAUAUUUCUCCUGGCAAUCUUGAUUCCAGCUUGUGCUUCCUCCAGCCCAGCGUUUCUCAUGAUGUACUCUGCAUAUAAUUUAAAUAAGCAGGGUGACAAUAUACAACCUUGAUGUACUCCUUUUCCUAUUUGGAACCAGUCUGUUGUUCCAUGUCCAGUUCUAACUGUUGCUUCCUGACCUGCAUACAGGUUUCUCAGGAGGUAGGUCUGCACCUGCCUGUACCACCUGGUCUGGUAUUCCCAUCUCUUGAAGAAUUUUCCACAGUUUAUUGUGAUCCACACAGUCAAAGGCUUUGGCAUAGUCAAUAAAGCAGCAGUAGAUGUUUUUCUGGAACUCUCUUGCUUUUUCGAUGAUCCAGUGGAUGUUGGCAGUUUGAUCUCUGGUUCCUCUGCCUUUUCUAAAACCAGCUUGAACAUCUGGAAGUUCACAGUUCAAGCACUGUUGAAGCCUGGCUUGGAGAAUUUUGAGCAUUACUUUGCUAGCAUGUGAGAUGAGUACAAUUGUGCAGUAGUUUAAACAUUCUUUGGCAUUGCCUUUCUUUGGGAUUGGAAUGAAAACUGACCUUUUCCAGUCCUGUGGCCACUGCUGAUUUUCCAAAUUUGCUGACAUAUUGAGUGUAGCACUUUCACAGCAUCAUCUUUUAGGAUUUGAAAUAGCUCAACUGGAAUUCCAUCACCUCCACUAGCUUUGUUCAUAGUGAUACUUCCUAAGGCCCACUGGACUUCACGUUCCAGGAUGUCUGGCUCUAGGUGAGUGAUCACACCAUCGUGAUUAUCUGGGUCAUGAAGAUCUUUUUUGUAUAGUUCUUCUGUGUAUUCUUGCCAUCUCUUCUUAAUAUCUUCUGCUUCUGUUAGGUCCAUACCAUUUCUGUCCUUUAUUGAGCACUUUGGAAACUAUAUAUUUUAAAAGUGUAAGACAUUAUCAUUUCUAUUUUUAUACUCUGAAUUUAUAUGCAUGUUUGUGUUAGUUAUAUGAUUUUCAAAUGAAGAGAUACACUUAAAACCUUACUGGUCAAGAAAUCCUUUAAUUCAGCUCUACAACAUAGAAGGGACAAAGAAAUCCUUUAAUUUGAAGCAGAUUCAUCUAUGAGAAAUUUUAUUACAUUAGAUUUGAGGGGAAGAAAGGCACAUAUGAUAAAUGACUUCAGGCCUAAAUGCAAUUUCAAUCCAUUGUAAAAAAACUCGUUCAAAACCAAUAGCUCUCAAACGUCAGUACAUAUUACCAUUACUGGAGAAAAAUAAAUAACAGAUCACUGGGCUUUACUCCCCCAUUUCUGGCUUAGACUUGGGAUGGGGCCCAAGAACUUGCAUUUCUAACAAAUUCCCAGCAGAGCUGGAUGUUGCUGCUGUGGGAAGCCUGUUUGAAAACCACUGCUUUAAACCAGUAAAAUCACUGGUUGGAAUGAUAAUAACUGUUUAGCAACCAUCACUGGUAGCAGGUUUAAGACAUUAUAUACUAACUUUUAAAUUUCCCUUUAAAAACUCACGUUUAUACAGAAGCUUUAGGAUUAAAAUAAUCAUCUGAGCUGGAGAUAAUAUUGAUAAAGAGAAUUACCCAGAGUCAGUUCC